CUCAGCAAAGCAAUUUGCUACAAAAAUCCUUUCACACCCCAAAAUUUCAAUGUCUAAAGUUUUUCCUUUCACUGCAAUAGUGCAUCCUCAUGCAAUUACAGCUCCAAGGUUGGUUGUGAAAAUGUCAGCAAUAGCCACCAAAAAUGCAGUGGAGUCAUUAGUAGUGAAGCCACCAGCACACCCAACUUAUGAUUUAAAGGGUGUUAUUCAACUAGCCCUCUCUGAAGAUGCUGGGGAUUUAGGAGAUGUGACUUGUAAGGCGACAAUUCCUAUUGACAUGGAAUCUGAAGCUCAUUUUCUAGCAAAGGAAGACGGGAUUGUAGCAGGAAUUGCACUUGCUGAGAUGAUAUUCGCAGAGGUUGAUCCUUCACUAAAGAUGGAGUGGUCUAUAAAUGAUGGUGAUAAAGUUCAUAAAGGCUUGAAAUUUGGCAAAGUACAAGGAAAGGCUCACAGCAUUGUUAUAGCUGAGAGAGUUGUACUCAAUUUCAUGCAAAGAAUGAGCGGAAUAGCUACACUAACUAAGGCGAUGGCAGAUGCUGCACACCCUUCUACCAUCUUGGAGACUAGGAAAACUGCUCCAGGAUUACGUUUGGUGGAUAAAUGGGCGGUAUUGAUCGGUGGGGGGAAGAAUCACAGAAUGGGCUUAUUUGAUAUGGUAAUGAUAAAAGAUAAUCACAUAUCUGCUGCUGGAGGUGUCAGCAAAGCUCUAAAUUCCGUGGAUCAGUAUUUGGAACAAAAUAAACUUCACAUGGGGGUUGAGGUUGAAACCAGGACAAUUGCAGAAGUACGUGAGGUUCUAGACUAUGCAUCUCAAACAAAGACUUCGUUGACUAGGAUAAUGCUGGACAAUAUGGUUGUUCCAUUAUCUAAAGGAGAUAUUGAUGUAUCCAUGCUUAAGGAGGCUGUAGAUUUGAUCAAUGGGAGGUUUGAGACAGAGGCUUCAGGAAAUGUUACCCUUGAAACAGUGCACAAGAUUGGACAAACUGGUGUUACCUACAUUUCUAGUGGUGCCCUAACGCAUUCUGUGAAAGCACUUGACAUUUCCCUGAAAAUCGAUACAGAGCUCGCCCUUGAAGUUGGACGACGUACAAAACGAGCAUGACCGCCAUUACUUUUGUUGUAGGGUUGGAGUAAAACCAGCUGAAUGGCACAAAGUACAAAUAAGAAUCAUUUUACUAGUUGUCAAACAAAUAAGAUGAAACAGCAAAGGUGCAGGGGCAGAGCUAGAGUGUCGAGAGCGGGUUCGACCGAAUCCAGUAGCUUUGAUUCGAACCGUAGAUUUGUUUUAAAAAAAUUAUUGAAUAUGUAUAAAUUAUUAAUUUAGAACCCAUUAACUUAAGGCGAUUUGAAUCUCAAAUCCAUAAGCUUGAAAUUCUGGCUCGUGCCAUCCUUCCUUGACGUACUCCUAUGCAUAUUACAUUGAUUAAUAUAUAAGAAAGAAAGAGUAGUGACUUGUAUAAA